rnacentral:rRNA from 1 species
AUGCAGUCGAGCGGAUGAAGNGGAGCUUGCUCUCUGAUUCAGCGGCGGACGGGUGAGUAAUGCCUAGGAAUCUGCCUAUUAGUGGGGGACAACGUUUCGAAAGGAACGCUAAUACCGCAUACGUCCUACGGGAGAAAGCAGGGGACCUUCGGGCCUUGCGCUAAUAGAUGAGCCUAGGUCGGAUUAGCUAGUUGGUGAGGUAAUGGCUCACCAAGGCGACGAUCCGUAACUGGUCUGAGAGGAUGAUCAGUCACACUGGAACUGAGACACGGUCCAGACUCCUACGGGAGGCAGCAGUGGGGAAUAUUGGACAAUGGGCGAAAGCCUGAUCCAGCCAUGCCGCGUGUGUGAAGAAGGUCUUCGGAUUGUAAAGCACUUUAAGUUGGGAGGAAGGGCAUUAACCUAAUACGUUAGUGUUUUGACGUUACCGACAGAAUAAGCACCGGCUAACUUCGUGCCAGCAGCCGCGGUAAUACGAAGGGUGCAAGCGUUAAUCGGAAUUACUGGGCGUAAAGCGCGCGUAGGUGGUUUGUUAAGUUGGAUGUGAAAGCCCCGGGCUCAACCUGGGAACUGCAUCCAAAACUGGCAAGCUAGAGUAUGGCAGAGGGUGGUGGAAUUUCCUGUGUAGCGGUGAAAUGCGUAGAUAUAGGAAGGAACACCAGUGGCGAAGGCGACCACCUGGGCUAAUACUGACACUGAGGUGCGAAAGCGUGGGGAGCAAACAGGAUUAGAUACCCUGGUAGUCCACGCCGUAAACGAUGUCNACUAGCCGUUGGGAUCCUUGAGAUCUUAGUGGCGCAGCUAAACGCAUUAAGUCGACCGCCUGGGGAGUACGGCCGCANGGUUAAAACUCAAAU